GAUGAAGAACGUAGCGAAAUGCGAUAAGUAGUGUGAAUUGCAGAAUUCAGUGAAUCAUCGAAUCUUUGAACGCACAUUGCGCCCCUUGUUAUUCCAUGGGGCAUGCCUGUUCGAGCGUCAUUUGUACCUUCAAGCUUUGCUUGGUGUUGGGUGUUUGUCUCGCCUUUGCGUGUAGACUCGCCUUAAAAUAAUUGGCAGCCGGCGUAUUGAUUUCGGAGCGCAGUACAUCUCGCGCUUUGCACUCAUAACGACAGCGUCCAAAAGUACAUUUUACACUCUUGACCUCGGAUCAGGUAGGGAUACCCGCUGAACUUAAGCAUAUCAAUAAGCGGAGGA
rnacentral:misc_RNA from 1 species